rnacentral:rRNA from 1 species
GAUGAUGCCCAGCUUGCUGGGUGGAUUAGUGGCGAACGGGUGAGUAACACGUGAGUAACCUGCCCUUGACUCUGGGAUAAGCCUGGGAAACUGGGUCUAAUACCGGAUAUGACCUUCCAUCGCAUGGUGGUUGGUGGAAAGCUUUUGUGGUUUUGGAUGGACUCGCGGCCUAUCAGCUUGUUGGUGAGGUAAUGGCUUACCAAGGCGACGACGGGUAGCCGGCCUGAGAGGGUGACCGGCCACACUGGGACUGAGACACGGCCCAGACUCCUACGGGAGGCAGCAGUGGGGAAUAUUGCACAAUGGGCGCAAGCCUGAUGCAGCGACGCCGCGUGAGGGAUGACGGCCUUCGGGUUGUAAACCUCUUUCAGUAGGGAAGAAGCGAAAGUGACGGUACCUGCAGAAGAAGCGCCGGCUAACUACGUGCCAGCAGCCGCGGUAAUACGUAGGGCGCAAGCGUUAUCCGGAAUUAUUGGGCGUAAAGAGCUCGUAGGCGGUUUGUCGCGUCUGCCGUGAAAGUCCGGGGCUCAACUCCGGAUCUGCGGUGGGUACGGGCAGACUAGAGUGAUGUAGGGGAGACUGGAAUUCCUGGUGUAGCGGUGAAAUGCGCAGAUAUCAGGAGGAACACCGAUGGCGAAGGCAGGUCUCUGGGCAUUAACUGACGCUGAGGAGCGAAAGCAUGGGGAGCGAACAGGAUUAGAUACCCUGGUAGUCCAUGCCGUAAACGUUGGGCACUAGGUGU